UAUUAAAAAAUUUAUUCAUUUCUAUUGUUAAAAACUGGUAUGGCUGACAUAAUAACCAAACAAUGACAUGUGGCGUGUUAUGUGUACCUCAUGCUGACGUACAAGGACCAGUUUUUAACAGUAAAAAUGGAUAAAACUUUUAACA
rfam:Gossypium hirsutum cultivar TM-1 chromosome 5, whole genome shotgun sequence